rnacentral:rRNA from 1 species
CUCGUAGGCCGCUCUGUAAGUCGGAAGUGAAAGACCACGGCUCAACCGUGGAACCGCUUUCGAAACUGCGGAGCUUGAGGCCGGGAGAGGAGAUUGGAAUUCCUGGUGUAGCGGUGAAAUGCGUAGAUAUCAGGAGGAACACCCGUGGCGAAGGCGAAUCUCUGGACCGGUUCUGACGCUGAUGAGCGAAAGGCUAGGGGAGCAAACA